CGAUUACUUAUAUAAGGGCGCACGGAGGAUGCCUUGACACAAAAUGGCGAUGAAGGACGUUGCGUGACUGCGAUAAGCGUCGGGGAGCCGUCGAGCAGGCUUUGAUCCGGCGAUGUCCGAAUGGGAAAACCCCGCGGUGUAAACCACCGUGACCCGCUUAAGUUUUUGGACUAGGCCUUUGGCCUAGAGCUGAAAGCAAGUCCAAAAACUUAGGCGGGGGCGUACCUGGGGAAGUGAAACAUCUCAGUACCCAGAGGAAAAGAAAUAGAAUUAGAUACCGUUAGUAGCGGCGAGCGAAAACGGCGAAGCCUAAACUUUCUAUGACGCAAGUCAUAGAAAGGGUAAUAAGGGCAGAACAAUUGAAAAUUAAAUUUUGGAGGGACAUAUCACCUUCAGGAUUUAAUCUUCAUAAGAAGUUAAAAAUUCGAGCGGUAGCAGAACGGCCUUGGAAUAGCCGGCCACAGCGGGUGACAGCCCCGUACGCGAAACCAAUCGAACUUCUGUUUUGCUGGAGCGCAAGCUCCUUUACUUGAGUAGCCCAGGAUAAGAAUGUCCGGGGUGAAUUUGUCCAUACUACUGGAUAAGGCUAAAUACAUUUUGUGAUCGAUAGUGAACCAGUACCGUGAGGGAAAGGCGAAAAGAACCCCGGCGAGGGGAGUGAAAUAGAAACUGAAACCGUGUGCUUACAAAGAGCGAACGCCGUGGCUCACUAUUGUUCGCCACAGUAUUAAGUAUUCAGUAUCUUGUAUCUAGUAUGAAUCCAAAUACUAAAUACAAAAUACCAGAUACUAGAUACUAGUGAUGAGCGGUAGCGAGUCACGGUUAUCGUGUGCCUAUUGAAGAAUGACCCGACGAGUUUACUUAAACGGCCCCGAAUAAGUCUCUUUGAGACGCAUUCAUAGGGAAACCGAGUGUUAAAAGCGCGUCAAUCAACUAACAACUUACGACCUACAGCCUACGACGGAAACGUUGUCAGUUGUUUGUUGUGGGUUGUUGGUCUGAUUAUGUCGUUUAGGUAAGACCCGAAGCCAGGCGAGCUAACCAUGACCAGGGUGAAGUUUGGAGAAAUCCAAAUGGAGGCCCGAACCAGUUGAUCGCUCAAUAUCAUUGGAUGAGUUGUGGUUGGAAGUGAAAAGCUUAUCGAGCUUGGUAAUAGCUGGUUCUCCCCGAAAUGCCUUUAGGGGCAGCGGGAUACAGUAGCAAGAGGGGUAGAGCACUGAUUGGUUUGCCGUGCCCGCAAGGGUAGGUUUACCAAACAAACUCCGAAUACUCUUGUGAAAUGUAUUCCAGUGAGUAUGCGAGGGCGAAGCUUCGUGUACGCAAGGGAAACAGCCCAGAUCACAAAUUAAGGUCCCAAAAUCUAUGCUAAGUGAAAAGGAAGUUCGUUGCCUUAGACAGGUAGGAGGUUGGCUUAGAAGCAGCCAUCCUUUAAAGAGUGCGUAAUAGCUCACUACUCGAUUCCGCCGUAAGGCGGAGAGGCAGCGUGCGCCGAAGAUGUAUAGGGGCUAAGCAUAGUACCGAAAUUGUGGGUUUGAUGAUUUCGAAAAGGAUAAGUGGUGCCGUAGCUCACAGUCAGGGCACUGGGUCCCGGGCCCAGAGGUCGACGGUUAAAAUCCGUCCGGCGUCACUAACCUGUCGGAUUAAAAUCAGGCGAGACCUGAUAAUCCGAUCUUUUUCGAAAUCAUCAAGCGGUAGGGGAGCAUCUCCAUCUGCUGUGAAGGUACACUGUGAAGUGUGCUGGAGCGUUGGGGAGGGAGAAUGUUGGGAUGAGUAACCGCAUGUGAUGUGAAAACCAUCACCGCCGUAAGUCCAAGGUUUCCUCCGCGAUGGCAAUCAUCGGAGGGUUAGGCGUGCCUAAGCGUAACCAUACUUUAGGGUGUGGGAUCGCGAUGGACAGCCAGUUAAUAUUCUGGCCCUUGGUUUCUGUUCGAAGGAGUGACGGAGGGUAGUAAGCUGACCGUAUAAUCGGAUUUAACGGGUAUAACGUAAGGAUCGGACGCAGGAAAAUCCGCGUCCGGCCGCAAGGCAAAUCCAAGCGUUGUACAAAUUGCGCAAGCGAAAUUCAGCCGAGCACGCUUCCAAGAAAAACUUCUAAGUUAUGCAGAAACCAAAACGUACCGCAAAACCGACGCAGGUGGACUGGCAUCAGUGUGCCAAGGCGAACGGGUGAUUAUUGGCUAAGGAACUCGGCAAAAAAGCGGCCGUACCUUCGGUAUAAGGCCUGCCCAUCGCAAGAUGGGCCGCAGCGAAAGAACCCCUGGCGACUGUUUAUCUAAAACACAACUCCGUGCUAAGGCGCAAGCCGAUGUAUACGGGGUGACGCUUGUCCGGUGCCGGAACGUUAACGGUUGAAGUGGUGUGCCGCAAGGUGCAUUGCGGAAGCCCGAAGCGCCGGUGAACGACGGCAGUAACUAUAACUGUCUAAAAGUUCUGCACAUCUAGCUAUAGGUGUUCAGAAGAGCUUAGACGGUUACAGAUAAGAUAAAUAGAGGUAGCUGCUUAUCGAGCUAAGCUCGAUGCUCUCAAAAUAUAUUCGACCAUAUGCUGGAAAGUCUGUGGAUAAAAUCCUAAGUAUUGAGUGCUACUUAUGGUAAAAUGAUACCAUGAGUAAAAAUGUAUCUCAUGCAGAUAAUCAGCAGGAAAGAUUAAGACUGGAAGGUUGGAUCAGCGGAUUUGUAGAUGGCGAGGGAUGCUUUACCAUAAGCAUCAUUCGCAAUCCAUAUGGCUGGCAAGUAUUUCCAGAGUUUGUGGUAAGUCAAGGCGAAAAGAGUCGUGCCGCUCUAAAGAAAAUAGAAAACUUCUUUGGAUGCGGUUACAUUAAUCUUAAUACACGCAGAGACAAUCAUCACGAACAAAUGUUGAAAUACUGUGUCAGAUCAAUCCAAGAUCUAAACGACGCUAUCAUCCCAUUCUUUGAAGUAAAUAAACUGAAAACUUACAAGCAAAAGGAUUUUCAGGUGUUUCGCAAAGUUAUCAGACUGAUGACCCAAAAGAAACAUCGAACAGAGAAGGGGCUAGACAAGAUACGUUCUCUGCUUCAAACAAUGAAUCGGAGAAAAUGCAAAGUCUUAAAAUCCUCAGAGACUAUACGUCGAACUGAUAUAUUAUCAGAAAAUAUAGUCCGGUCUUCACGGCGACGUGAAGGGUAGAAAUACCGCAACAGAUUUGUUGUAACAUAUCAAGCGAAAUACCUUGUGGGGUAAGUUCCCACGCGCAUGAAUAGCGGAACGACUGGGGGACUGUCUCAGCCAAUAGCCCGGUGAAAAUGCAAUGUCAGUAAAGAUGCUGACUACCCGCACCUAGACGGGAAGACCCCGGAAGCUUCACUGCAGCUUGGUAUUGGUCUACGAGUUGUUAUGCGUAGCGUAGUGAGUAGGAUUUGAAGUCCCGAUUUCGGUCGGGAUGGAUCCGCCAAUGAAACACUCAUCUUAACGAUUUGUAGCUCUAACCGGCCCCUCCCUUUCAGUAAAUGAAAUAGAGGAAUGUAUAAGCUUUCGAGUAAUAUCGGGAGUUUUAUCAUACUUUCAAUCAUAGAUUGAAAGGGAGGGAUCGAGACAGUGCCUGGUGGGCAGUUUAAGUGGGGCACUUGCCUUUAUCAAAUCAAAAUUCAAAAAGUUGGUUUGGUAAAGCCCAGGUGCUCCAGAGAAUUUAAAUUUCUCGAAACAAAAAUUAGGGGGUGUUGUAGAAAUACAACAGGAAUCAGCUAUAUCGGGGAAUAUCUUUUAAAAGAGACAAUCCCGAGGGAAGUCGUAAUUGACCCCGUAGAGACUGUACGCUGAAUCAGUAAUUUUCUUUGGAAAACUAGAAAGUUCCUGAAUAAUAUAGUCCGAACUGUAUGGUGACAUGCAGAGCAUGACAGAAAUGUUUAUGCCAAUAACGAAAGUUAUUUGUAACACAAUUGCCUAAAGAGUAAUGGAGGCGUUCAUCAAGGUUGGCUAGUUCCGGAUGGACAUCGGAACGAUAGCGUAAAGGCAAAAGCCAGCUUAACUGCAAGACGGAUAUGUCGCGCAGAUGCGAAAGCAGGACUUAGUGAACCGACGCUACCUCGUAGGAGGGGCGAAGAUCAACAGAUAAAAGCUACUCCGGGGAUAACAGGCUAGUACUGCCCGAGCGUUCACAGCGACGGCAGUGUUCGGCACCUCGAUGUCGGCUCGGCUUAUCCUGGGACUGAAGAAGGCCCCAAGGGUUUGGCUGUUCGCCAAUUAAAAAGCUACGCGAGCUGGGUAAGUAAAAAUGAGCCCAACUGUUCUGGGCAUCGAAGGCUCAAUUUUGAGCUGUUAAAAAGAACGAAAAACUGACUCAUAUCGGAGGAGCCCUAAUGUUUUUAAACAUGGGCAAUUCCGAGGGAAGUCGCCAAGAUGGAUUUGGUUGACCCCGUAACGACUUGAUUCUCCAAAGAUUGAAGAAUCAGGUAAUGGCUCUUUAGUCAUUACAAAACGUCAGUCCGAUUUGGAAAAAUCGGAAAGGUAUAGUCUAUACUGUUCGGAAGAACAGAUUUAAUAUUACGAAAGUAAUAAUAUGUCAAACCGUCGUGAGACAGGUUGGUCCAUAUCUGGUGCGGGCGUUGAAGUUUGAGGAGGGUUGUCCCUAGUAAAGUAAUUGCUACUUCACGAAGUAAUUCGUGAUGACAACUCGGCUAAUAACGGUGGAAUCUUAGAUAUUUGGGUUCGUUGAUAACUCUGAUUGAUUAGGUCCAAAAAUCGGAGUACAAUUUACUUGAGGACCAGGAAAUAAUCUAAGACAAUAUCGUGGGAAGUCGAUCAAAUAAUGAUUUAGCGUAUAUAGCAGGAUUUCUUGAUGGUGACGGAAGCUUAAUGCUUCAAAUUAAAAAACGUCACGAUGGGAAAAGGAAAUGGCGUUUCAUGGCCACGAUCUGUUUUUAUCAAGACAGUCGACAUGAGUCUCCAUUAUCCUGGAUACGUUCAGUGCUUGGAAUUGGUUAUGUGUCGAAGCGCAAUGACGGAAUGUCGGAACUGCGAAUCAAUGGAUUCAAGCAGGUUCAAGAUAUUCUGAAAAAGCUGAUGCCAUUCAUCAAGUUUAAAGAUGAGCAGGCAAAAGCCUUAUAUUACGCAACAGAGAUACUGACCAAAGCUCAAGAUUUAAAAUCGCUUAAGAAAUUAAUUGAUUGUGUCUUGAAGAUCCAAGAGCAUAAUUACGCUGCAAAACGUAAGAAGACAAAACAGGAGUUGUAUUCAUUGUUAGAUUUGACCCCGUAACGACUUGUUCCCGAGCUUAGAAAUGAGUGGAGGACGGAUGGAGAGCUUCAAGCGACCGAAGGGUCGCGCAGUACCCAGCGCCAGUAGGCGGCGGGUAUUAGUUCAGUCUCCAUAAGAUGCCGAUCCCCGAUCCUUUUAAAGGGGGGGAAAGAUAUAGUCUGCACCCAUGGUGACAUGGGAAAUCGAUUCUGUAUUCGUAUCAUUCGCAUACAUUCGUGUAUUUGCAUUGUGGUGCGAGCAGAGCGAGUAUGUGACGAGAGGACCGGGAUGAACGAACCUCUGGUCUACCAGCUGUUCUGCCAAGAGCAGCGCUGGGUAGCUAUGUUCGGUUCUGAUAAGCGCUGAAAGCAUAUAAGCGCGAAGCAGGCUCCAAGAUUAGACUUCUUGCGGCGUAAGCCGCGUAGACUCCUUGUAGAUUACGAGGUUGAUAGGGCUCAGAUGUACGCACGGUGACGUGCUUAGUCGAGAGCUACUAAUAUGUCGAAAUAGUAAUCGCU
rfam:Candidatus Yanofskybacteria bacterium RIFCSPHIGHO2_01_FTLL_48_25b rifcsphigho2_01_scaffold_4316, whole genome shotgun sequence.